rnacentral:lncRNA from 1 species
CUGAAGUAACAUGAAGUGCUAAUCUCAAUGGGGUAAUGAGGAGUCCUAUUCCAAGAUGGCGGGACUGGACCAAACCUCCUAUUUUUGCUCUUUCAAGCAGCAUUCAAAAAAAAUGAAUUGGUGACCCGAUCGCCCAUCCAGAAAAUUGGCCCGGAUCUGCAGUUUGGAUUGGUAAAUAAAAAAUUUUAAAACUAGAGAACAAAAUAAAAUUUUGAAAAAUAAUAAAAAUAAAAAGUGGGACUGAAUAGGCCAGGUCCUUGACAAAAUCAACCAGUUAUGUUAAAGAACCAGUGAAUUCCUGACGGGAACCAGCUGAUUCUUGAUAUAUGGUGGAAACCGGACUGGUCGCACCGAUUCUCAAUCUGAAUCGGGCGAUUAUGAUUCUGAAUCAGCAUUUUUUUAGAACCCUAAGUGAGAAAGAGAGUUAUGUCUGUGUGUUUGUCAUGUCUAUCAAUUAGAUAGAGAAGGGGAGGGUGUAGCAGUGAACAUGUGUUUUCCAUUUACCAAAACAAUAAAAUGCAUGCUAAAGAACAGAGAUCAAAUCAUGAAUUACUGGACAAUUGAUUCCUUCACAAGAGGACUGAAUGAUUACCAGUUUCAUCCCACUGAACAUUUCCUAAAUCUCCAGUCUAUUUCUUAGAUCAUCAAGAGAAGACAAGCUCCUAAAAUUCUUGUACAAGCAAACUAACCAUUUCAGAUAUGGAAAAAA